rnacentral:rRNA from 1 species
CGCUGGCGGCGUGCCUAACACAUGCAAGUCGAGCGGGGAACUUCGGUUCCCAGCGGCGGACGGGUGAGUAACACGUGGGUAACCUGCCUCAAAGAGGGGGAUAGCCUCCCGAAAGGGAGAUUAAUACCGCAUAACAUUAUUUUCUCGCAUGAGAAAAUAAUCAAAGGAGCAAUCCGCUUUGAGAUGGACCCGCGGCGCAUUAGCUAGUUGGUGAGGUAACGGCUCACCAAGGCGACGAUGCGUAGCCGGCCUGAGAGGGUGAACGGCCACAUUGGAACUGAGAUACGGUCCAGACUCCUACGGGAGGCAGCAGUGGGGAAUAUUGCACAAUGGGCGAAAGCCUGAUGCAGCAACGCCGCGUGAGUGAUGAAGGCCUUCGGGUUGUAAAGCUCUGUCUUCUGGGACGAUAAUGACGGUACCAGAGGAGGAAGCCACGGCUAACUACGUGCCAGCAGCCGCGGUAAUACGUAGGUGGCAAGCGUUGUCCGGAUUUACUGGGCGUAAAGGAUGCGUAGGCGGAUAUUUAAGUCAGAUGUGAAAAUCCCGGGCUUAACUUGGGAACUGCAUUUGAAACUGGGUAUCUAGAGUGUGGGAGAGGAAAGUGGAAUUCCUAGUGUAGCGGUGAAAUGCGUAGAGAUUAGGAAGAACACCAGUGGCGAAGGCGACUUUCUGGACCAUAACUGACGCUGAGGCAUGAAAGCGUGGGGAGCAAACGGGAUUAGAUACCCUGGUAGUCC